CCUUGGUUGUGUGUGGUAGGGUCCCUGGGCUGGGACCCGGAGUAGAGGGUGGGCCUGGGUUCCCUUACUCACCACUGGGGAAGUGGCACUGGUGAGGCAGUGAAUGGAACACUGCCUGGGUCACUGUGCGAGUGACAGAGACUUUGAAGAAUUAUCUCCUGGAAGGGGAGAACACCGAGUGAGCUGGCUAGAGGGCCGAGACACGGAGAGCAAGAAAGGGGCUGCAGACCAGAUUGAGAGAGGGAGUGAUGGCAUACAACUGAGGAAGUGGCAUUGACCUGGGCUCUUGCUUCAUGUUGCUUCCGAAGAGCAUUUGCUGCUGGAUUUGCAGGUACAGUGUGAGACUGAAUAUCCGGCCACCCGCAGAAUGGAAAUUAAUAUAGUACUGGUGUGAAGGAGAACGCAAGGUACAAUACAAUAAAUGGAGCCAGUGGAGAAAACUGGAUGAAAGAAAAAUGUGAAGGCGGCACCUGGAAAGCAGCAGUGCAGCUUUUAACUGGAAAGAAGAGCUGCAUGGAAGAUAGCCCUGCUCACUAGAUCUGAUUAGAGAUUUAGAAAGAGUGUGUUUCUGUGCUUAGAGCAAGGGAUUGGGUGUCAGGACUCCUGUCUUUUCUCAGCUCUGCCACUGCCUUUGUGUGCAACUGUAGCUACAUCUGUGUCCCCAUGUUACAGAUGAGGAAACUGAGGAACAGUAAUGCAUACUUGAUGUAGGUAGUAUAAGAAUCUGAAAGGGCUCCUAAGAAUAGACUGCCUUCACUCAGGGGAUGUUGCAAGUCUGAAUUCACUAAUAUUUUUAAGUGCUUUCAGAUUCUCAGUUUAAAAAUACUGUAGAAGUGGGAAUAUGAAUCUCUUUGAUUUUAACUUUGUAGUCCUUUCUAGCUUUGUAUUUUUCUUCUUGCUCAAGUAAAACAGUAAGAAACCUUUCUAAAAAGUUGCUCCCAGGGCUGAUCUCCUGAUCUCAAUUAUACCAUUAUUACUCUGUUGACACCAUUGGAGAUGCUCAGGAUUUGCACUGAUGCAACUGAGAUAAAGAUCUAGCCCCAGGAUUUCAUAAGAACUGGUAAUCAGCUGCUCUUGCUGCAGAGGAAAGUGCCAGAGCUCCCUUCCAAAUUCCAUUGACUCAGCUCUGUGAAUGAACCCUAAGGAACUGGUAUAUGCUAGCAGUACAGAUAGCCUGGGGCCAGCAGUCUAAUCCAUUAGUCAUUAACUAUUGCUCUUAACAAUGGCUAAUGUCAAGGGAACAUUACUUGAUCAUUAAAGCAUUAAAAAUCCAGUGUACAGUUUGUAAUUUUACCAAAUGCACUUUUUAAAAAAAAGAUUGCUGCUGUCAGGCUGGUCACAUUCACCAGGAACAUGACCAGAAUUAGUCACCUCCAUGUAGACGAAGGGUUUUCUUUAUUGUCCAUUUGGAAUGGACUUUUUGUAUCAGCUCUAAAGCAUUGAGGCGCAUGAGUUGGAAGGAGGCAUUAAUGGCUGCAGCAAAGCUUCCCAGCAUUGAGUAGCUAAUGAUGAUGGUGGCAACUUUCCUGAGUUUUUAAAAAUUAUUAGUGGGACAGUUCAUAGCGUUUUGCUGAAUUUUGUGAGCAUUUUCUAAAUCAGACUGUUUCCUUUCCCUCACUUUUGCAGCAGGUGAAAAUGGAAGUUGUGCUGUAUUGCACCUUGAAAGAGUAGGAGGAAAAAAUGAAUUUUUGGGUGCAUCACAAAAUAUUAGCAGCCGUUGGUCUUUCACUCUUUUUUUCCAAAGCAAGACCUGUACCAGACAAAGUCAGUCUAAUGUUAUUUUAUAAACGUAAUGGAUAAAGCUACUUCUAGACAUUCUUGAGUUUGUAGGCUCCUUCAACGUAACUCAAAAUGGUUGAGAUAACAGGUACAAUAGAAUAUGAAUGUCCCGUUCUCUCUCGCCCCCCGCCCCGCCCUGCCGCCUUUUAAACCAAUGUGUACCACAAAGCAAUGAGUAAGACACAGAAAUGAAGUUACCUGGUACAGACACAGAUAGUGACCUUUUUUGCUGAGCCAUAGUCUAUAUGCAUCCUCAGAGGUUAGAACCUGUUAUAUCAUGAAUAAGGCUAAGAUUUUGUCAUGGGUAUUUUUAGGAAAAGUCGCGGGCAAUAAAGAAAAAUUCACAGAAGCCCGUGACCUGUCCCUAACUUUUACUCAAAAUAUCCAAUGGGGAGCCACGGAGGUCUCUGAAAAUCACAGAUGCCGUGACUUCCACAACCUCCGUAACAAAAUCGUAACCUUAGUCAUGAGUAGGGAUAUCGAGGGGCCAUUCCCUACCCUUUUUUGAAAGUUGCUCUUCACUUUGCCCAUGCAAAGUCACCAGAAGUGGUCAGAUCUAGACUUUUCUUCUGUACAGAAGGAUUUUGAUUACUUAGCUGCCUUGUAGAGUCCUUUUGCUGCAAAAGAAAAAAGGAAGUAGGAUAAUUAAGGAAGAAAACCCAAGCCGAGGGUCUGACCCCGCAAAUCUUUACUAGCACAAGUAGAUUUUACUUGGGUGGGUAGCCAAAUUCAGUGUAUACAACUGGUCUGUUUGCAAGCAAACUAAAAAGAAGAUUGAAAUGCAAUAAGGGAGCAUUCUUGACCCAAAUCAGCCUCCAAGAGAGGCAUUGACUUCACCACACGUUUAAUUUUAUAUUUAGCAAACAAAAUUUUGCCCUUACAACGGAUUUAUAACAAAUAACUGACUAUCUAAGACUCACAUUUGUCCGCCCUACAAGAGAAUAGGGGCUAAAAACCCAGAACUAAAUGCUGAAUGCCUUAGUCACUCCUUAGCAGAGUUCACUUAGCUAAAAUAUUCAUUGAGGUCAAUGGGAUUUUGCCUUAGUAACAACUGUAAGAUUUAGUGGUUCCCCUGAAUUUACUAAGAAUUAGAGUAGUCCAGCAGAGCCACUUCACAAAAGAGAUAAUGAAAAAACUGACUAAAUAAGAAGGGACCUCAGGGUCAGGAGAAUAAGUAAUAUGAAGAGGGUAGGAGGGUAAGUUUGCUGAUGGUGAGACGGUAAAGCUGUACGCAGAAACAAGGCAAUGAGAACCCGUUAAAGCAACAGCUGCAUUUCAUUUCUCCUUUUACAAUGUGACCAACAUCUAGCACUUCUGUAUUUGGUAGUGCCUUUUCUUCGGAGGAUCUCAACGGGUUUCUUAUGCACACAUGAAGAAUAUCUGCACCACUCUGAAGGUAAAUAUUACAGCCAUUUUACAGAUAGGAAAACUGAAGCACAAAGUGGUAGUAACUUUCUCAUGGUCACAUUGGAAGCCACUGGUAGAUCAUCCAAGAAGCUUGAUUCCCGUUUCUGGAUUAUAAUUACUAGACCACAUCCCAUGCAAUGUUACAUUCUUAGGUUGUGAGAAUUCAGCCAAUAGGCUGCAUUGGCAAUAUUCAGAUAUUAAUGUAGCAGAUAUUAGUGUAUUAAUGUAAUGUAUUAAAGUAAAACAGAUAUUAAUGUAGCAGAUAUUUCAGUGGGACCACGACCAUGUGCAUUUAGGAUGAUGAACUUUUAUUGGCUGGAAAAGGAAACGCAGCAAGUCCACAGGGAUAGAACAUUUCUAAUGCAUUUUAUGGCACUCUGAGUGAGCCAUUCAUCAUUGCCAUCCUGAGCAAUCACAGCCAUCCUGAGCAUCUUUGGAAAUGAGGAAAUACAUCAGGUUCUGAAUAUGUCCCUUUAUGGUGUUGAAUAAGUAGAAAAUAAUCAUCAUGAAAUUGUGAUGUGCUAAACAAAGUGUCCCAGGAUUUAUGAAAAAAUUGACUAUUUGCCUGUCUUGGGUUUUUUUUAUAGCACCCAGGACCUUAGUAUCUACACACUAUGUGCUAAAAUACACAUCCUAAUAUUUGGAAUCAUUGUAACAUGUAUAAUCAUCAUAGCAUGUUUUAGGAAUUACACUCAGAAGAUUUUCACCAUAGAAUAUCAAGUGACUAACGUCAGACAAAGACUGAAAUUCACAGUACCAGGAGGGCAAGCUCUCAGAUGAUUUGGUCUCAUGUUUAACCUAAAAUGUGUCACACUGCAAUAUACCAUUUUGCCAUGUCUCAGAUAUUUGGGAUUCUUACAAUUCACAUGUCUCUAGUUUUCUGUUUGUUGUAUUUGAGCCACCUUACUUGCAAAGGGAAUAGAGUGAUAGUUGAAUGCCAUUAAAAUGUCAAGCAAGAAGUUCUUUUAAUCCAAAAAUACUUGCUUUGUUGCUGCUGAUUGCACAAUAUAAAGAUUGACAAAAGUAGAUAUUGCACCAGUGCCUAUAUUUUAGGAUUAAAUAAAGGUAGAUGUUGUUUCUACAUACUCUACAUGAUAACGCGGACUAAUAAUUUUAUUAGCAUAUUUGCUGGGCAAAGUCAAAAUGUUGUGCAGAAAAAGCCCUUCUCUGUUGUGGUAUAAAUGGGAUAUAUGAUGGUAGAGGGUGCAAUAAACUUUCUAUUUAAUGGCUUAGGGAUAAUAAUGUAUUACCCAUUCAUUGACUGUUUCCACGACUUCCCAUAUCUCUGUCUAUUGUGCAAACAUGAUUGUUUUUUUAGAGUCCACCAAGAGAAUUAGCUACACAACUCCCACUGUAAUUAGCAAGAGCUGGGUAACUAAACUCCCUAGUUGGCUUUAAAA